AUGCACGCUGGCGGCGUGCCUAAUACAUGCCAGUCGAGCGAACAGACGAGGAGCUUGCUCCUCUGAUGUUAGCGGCGGACGGGUGAGUAACACGUGGAUAACCUACCUAUAAGACUGGGAUAACUUCGGGAAACCGGAGCUAAUACCGGAUAACAUGUUGAACCGCAUGGUUCAACAGUGAAAGACGGUCUUGCUGUCACUUAUAGAUGGAUCCGCGCCGCAUUAGCUAGUUGGUAAGGUAACGGCUUACCAAGGCAACGAUGCGUAGCCGACCUGAGAGGGUGAUCGGCCACACUGGAACUGAGACACGGUCCAGACUCCUACGGGAGGCAGCAGUAGGGAAUCUUCCGCAAUGGGCGAAAGCCUGACGGAGCAACGCCGCGUGAGUGAAGAAGGUCUUCGGAUCGUAAAACUCUGUUAUUAGGGAAGAACAAAUGUGUAAGUAACUAUGCACGUCUUGACGGUACCUAAUCAGAAAGCCACGGCUAACUACGUG
rnacentral:rRNA from 1 species